GACGAACGCUGGCGGCGUGCCUAAUACAUGCAAGUUGAGCGCUGAAGGUUGGUACUUGUACCAACUGGAUGAGCAGCGAACGGGUGAGUAACGCGUGGGGAAUCUGCCUUUGAGCGGGGGACAACAUUUGGAAACGAAUGCUAAUACCGCAUAAAAACUUUAAACACAAGUUUUAAUUUUGAAAGAUGCAAUUGCAUCACUCAAAGAUGAUCCCGCGUUGUAUUAGCUAGUUGGUGAGGUAAAGGCUCACCAAGGCGAUGAUACAUAGCCGACCUGAGAGGGUGAUCGGCCACAUUGGGACUGAGACAAGGCCCAAACUCCUACGGGAGGGGGCAGUAGGGAAUCUUCGGCAAGGGGCGAAAGUCUGACCGAGCAACGCCGCGGGAGUGAAGAAGGUUUUCGGGUCGUAAAACUCGGUUGGUAGAGAAGAAAGUUGGUGAGAGUGGAAAGCUCAUCAAGUGACGGUAACUACUCAGAAAGGGACGGCUAACUACGUG
rnacentral:rRNA from 1 species